UAUCAAAGCCGAAGACAAACGAAAUUAUAACCUCAACGAAGGAACGACAAUGCAAACGUAACGCUACCUAUCGGUAGCAAACCGAAAUUACUUUCUUGCCAGCCCGAUAUAUUUUCAGCUUAUCCGACGAUCUAAACGGUGCCCUGAAGAAGAAAUCCCGGCCGAGCAGGUACGAGAAGUAAUACGGUAAAAGUGCGCGUUAAAACGAAAACAAGGAUGGGAUUCGGGUCAGUCGCGGAAAGUGAGUUGACAGGCCUGGUUUCCUGCGCGGAGGGACGCGCGCGUCCGAUGCCUGUCUUUCCAAGUCGUUUUCUUCGUAACUGUCGCCCCUUUUUUCCGUUCAGGGCACUCGGCGCUUCACAGAAAACAGAAUAGCCGUUCGUCUUCGGGGGCAAUUAUACCAGUUCACCGAGUAUCUGCAGGAAUCUAGUACGUUUAGCGGUAUAAUCGUGCGCGCAAGCUGGUUCACCGCUUUAGUUUCUUAACUCGGUCGGCACGAGGCUACGGGCUCUGUUUCGUGGUUGCAUUGCGCCACGGUUCUAGUGUCAUCGAUGAACGGGUCGCCAAACUGCCGGCGACCCCGGGGCCCCGUGGGGCCGCGGGGGACGAAAACCGAGCCGUUAAUCGUUACUAAUUCGCCGCGGAACCGCUGACGGUGCAGCUGCCGCGUCUUUCAGCCACCACCGGGCCUCGGAUCGAGGCUGCCGGGGGUCUAGCAGCCGGUUAUUGAUUACGCCCGACCGACUGCGAAACUCGCGAAAUUUCCGGCAACGUGAUAGGACCGCGGCCAAAGCUUGGGAAAUCGACGGAGACCCGUCUACCUGCCGAGGACAGCCUCUCAUUAUGCGUACUCGAUAUUAUCCGAGUGAUUCGCGUUACCGCUGGACAGAGCAAACAAUUGCUCAACAGGCAAUAUUUAGGACAGCUUCGGACGCACGGCUCGCGGCAAUCCGUCGCCGCGGUUUAGCGGAGCAUAGAUUUGUUUCGACGUUUUUUUCACACACAAAGCAAAUUGUAGCAGCAAGGAAGCGGCGUGUUUACGUGUUUUUCAAACGAAACGAAUACUGCCUCGCCGUAAACGCACCGCCGUCGCUGUACGACAGUAUAAAUAGUGCAAUUUGGAUCGGCGUUCAAUACGGAUAAUUGUUUUUCUUUUAUUAUUGAAGAAAAUAGACGCAGUGGACACUUAUCAGUA